UCUUUUCUCCUUCUCUCUCUCUUAAUUAAUAUAAUAAAAAAACAAAACUUAUAAAUGUAACAUACAAAAUGGCAACUUUUCUCAACCUUCACCUUAAAAUCACCAAACCCCCCUAAAAUCAAACAAAUAAUCAACGCCUCACUUCCUUAAAUUCACUCACAAAGAAGGAAAUACAUAUAGGGGCAACAAAAAUUUCCAAAAAAUAUUAUAUCCAACCCACUUCUCCAAUACUUAAUUUUUCAACAAUCCCAGAUAAUUAAAAACAUAAAAUAGCUCAUAUCCAACUGGAAAAAAAUCAAGAUAAUAUGACAUUCAAAGUCCCAAAAAACGCUGAACUUUGAUUAAGAUCACAUGCUUUGUUGUCUUGAUUUUACAAAGGAAAAACUUGGAAGCACCAAACACUGUGGAAAGUAAGCUGGAAUCAGAUAAUCCCACUUCAAAAAAAAGUGCAACCCCCAAACAUUGUUUGCUCCCCUAAAGAUAUUGAAAUCUCAAAAAAAGAGUCAAGUAUUGUGAGUGUUGACCGGUUCUUGGCUUCUCACAAUAAUAACGUAGGGAUGAAGAGAGGAUAGCAGGAACUGAAACGACACCGCAAGGACGAGUUGAAUAUUAACAAUACAAAAUAUCUUUAUGUAGAAAUUUUCAUCCAAUCUUUGAACAACUCUUCAUCUUCUCCUCUUCUCAACAGAGAUAGUCCAAGUUCAAGUUUGUGUAGUCUCCUGUUGUUUAAAUUACAUGUAAGUUGUUCAUAAUUUUUUUGGUCUUUCUCUUAUAUAUAUAUAUAUAAGAAGUAAUAUAUCUUUUGUCCUUUCUGAUUCAUAUAGCUAUCUGUUACGAAUUAUAAUUUCAAGAAAGUUUGAUUAACAUGUUUAUUUUUUUAUUUUAUUUACAUCAUUUCAGUUGAGUUUGUCUAUAUAAAUCUGGUGUCCACAUAUACAUUAUUGAGAUGGUGUCGAUAUGAUUUAUUUAAAGUAGACUACUUUAGUGAAUCUAUCUCAAUCGGUGUCUCUUAUUAUCUUGGGAGUUUAUAUAGGCAGUAACUGAUCACUCCAACUUAAUUUUGUUUGUGUUGGUGUGUAGCACAUUUUUUUUCUCUGAAUUUUAUGUUGUAGCAUUAAUUUAGAUGAAUACUUCUUGUUAAUUGGUAACAAAUAUGAAAUAGAACAGAGUUAUAUGGUUGUCCCCAAUCUUUAAGAACUAUUUGUUGUUUGUUUCUCUCUUUGACUGUUGACUUUAAAUAAUGUAUUAGUAAUGUCACGACUCAAAACGCGUCGUGAGUGUCACCCACAUUUAUCUUCCUAUGUGAGCGAACCAACCAAUCUAAACCCCAACAUUUCAAACAUAAUAAAUAGAAAACAAUGCGGAAGACUUAAAACUCAUUAACAAAAUCAAUAAUCAACUUCUAAAACUCAAAAAUUAUCAUUAUCCCCAAAAUCUUGAAGUCAUCAUCACAAGACAUCUAUCCACAAAUUACUAAUCUAAGAGUAUCUAAGAAGCUAAAAUAAGUAAAAAGCUAGUCCAUGCCGGAAGUUCAAGUCAUCAAGACAUGAAAAAGAAGAUCCAGUCCAAGUUAGAAGCAUUAGCUCACCCUGAAAUCUGGUGUGACGAAGACUGGCUAGAGUUGUGGUUGAGUUGAAGAUGACGGUACGUUUGCUGCACUCCACAAAUAACAAAGGAAGAUAAUUACAAGUAGGGGUCAGUACAAACACAAGUACUGAAUAGAUAUCAUCGGCCAACUCAAAUAGAAACAAUAUAUAUCAAAUAAUAUCAUAAAUUCAACUACAAUACUCAACAUGCGGCAAUUUACAAGUACCAUAACCCUUGGUCACAACACCAAGCACAUCAAUGAGGACUCACGCCUCCCCAUUAUACUCAUUUGGGAUAUAGGUUCUUUUAAUUCGAAUUUAUUAACAUAAUUUCAAGAUUCAUUAUCUUUAUUCCUCUUGUAUCGGUACGUGACACUCCGAUCCCCUAAUUCUACGUGUCGGUUCGUGACACCCGAUCCCCUAAUUCUACGUGUUGGUUCGUGACACCCGAUCCCCUAAUUUCUACGUGUCGGUUCGUGACACCCGAUCCCCUAAUUCUGCGUGUCGGUUCGUGACACCCGAUCCCCUAAUUCUACGUGUCGGUUCGUGACACCCGAUCCCCUAAUUCUACGUGUCGGUUCGUGACACCCGAUCCCCUAAUUCUACGUGUCGGUUCAUGACACCCGCUCCACUAAUCUAAUUCUAUUAAUUCAUCAAGCCUUCUUUAUACCAAAGCAUCAUCAAUCUCAUUACUUUAGUUCAUCAAGCCUUCUCUUAUACCAAGGCAUCAUCAAUCUCAUUACUUUAGUUCAUCAAGCCUUCUUUUAUAAGAAGGCAUUAUCAAUCUCAUUACUUUAGUUCAUCAAGCCUUCUUUUAUACCAAGGCAUCAUCAUUAACAAGGUAAAUUUAGGAUUAGAGAUUCAAUAGACUCAUCAUGCUUAUUCAUCACAAUUAUAUAAUCACAUCAUGUAAGCACACAAUUAAGCAUAUAGAAGGUUUUAUAAUACGACCCAACACAUAUCAUUUGCUAUUAAGAGUCUACUACGAAUAGCAUAAAAACCAUAACCUACCUCCACCGAAGAUUCGUGAUCAAGCAAGCAAUUUCCCAAAGCUUUGUUUCCUCUUCGUUUCCCUAUUCUCUCGAUCGUUCUCUUUCCCUCUCCUUGUUCUUUCUAUUUUUCUUAUUCAAACCCUCUUUCUUUUACCCUAAUUAACAUAUAAUUAAGUAUGAAAGAUGAUUAAUUAACCCAUUAAUUAAUUCAAGGUUAUCUCCUUUAACCCUCAAGUAGUUAAAUUAUUAACAUUAGCCCACUAAAUUUAUAAUUAUAGCAGGAAUAGUCCAAAACGUCCCUUAAAACAUUUAAAGAAAUCCGACCCAGCCUGGGAUUACGCAGCCUGUGACGGGCCGUCGUGCCUGCGACGGUCCGUCCUGCUGAGUCGUCACAGAGUUUAGAGACUCAAUUCCUUGAAGAGUGUGUGAUGGUCCGUCGUGCCCACGACGGUCCGUCCUGCCAUGUCGUCACGAAGUUCAGAGAGUCGAUUUCAGUAUCCAAAUUUCAGAAAUUCUAAGUGUUUUGGAACGAGACCCCCUCGACGGUCCGUCGUGCCCAUGACGGUCCGUCGUGGGAUCCGUCGACCAAGACAGUUUUUCUAGAAAUAAAAUCUGCUGCUCAAAAUGACUAAACAGGUCGUUACAAUAGAUACCAAUUUACCCAUCGUUCGUCCUCAAACGAUCAUUAGAAGAAAAUCAAGGGCGAAAAGGAGUACCUGAAUAUGUAAACAGGUGUGAGUAUCUUUCUUGCAUAUCUGCCUCCUUCUCCCAAGUGGCUUCUUCAACUGGUCGAUUCUUCCAUUGAACUUUGAUGGAUGUAAUCUCCCUUGACCUCAGCUUGCGAACUUCUCUAUCUAAAAUAGCAACAGGUUCCUCCUCAUAAGAAAAAUUCUCAUCAAGCAAAACUGAAUCCCAACGGAUAAUGUAGUUUCCAUCCCCAUGGUAUCUUUUCAACAUAGACACAUGAAACACCGGAUGCACUCCUGACAGUCCUGGAGGCAAGGCUAAUUCAUAAGCCACCUCCCCUACUCGCUUAAGUACUUCAAAUGGUCCAAUAUACCUUGGGCUUAGCUUACCUCUUUUACCAAACUGCAUCACCCCUUUCAUGGGCGAAACCUUCAGCAAGACUUGCUCACCCUCCAUAAACUCCAAGUCUCUAACCUUUCGAUCGGCAUAUUUCUUUUGCCUACUUUGCGCCGCUAAAAGCUUUUCUUGAAUAGAUUUCACUUUCUCUAAUGAAUCCCUCAAAAGGUCAGUACCCCAAGGUCUAACCUCAAAUGCAUCAAACCAACCAAUGGGAGACCUACAUCUCCUCCCAUACAAUGCUUUGAAUGGAGCCAUAUCAAUACUUGAGUGAUAGAUAUUAUUGUAUGAAAACUCCGCUAAGGGUAAGAAGUUAUCCCAAUGACCACCAAAUUCUAUCACACAUGCACGAAGAAUAUCCUCCAACACUUGAAUCAUUCGCUCAGACUGACUAUCGUUCUGAGGGUGAAAUGCAGUACUAUGGUCCAACCUAGUACCUAAUUCAGCAUGCAAUGUUCUCCAAAACUUAGAAGUAAACUGCGUACCUCUAUCUGAUAUGAUGGAGAGUGGAACUCCAUGCAAUCGAACGAUUUCUGAGAUAUAGAUUUUGGCUAACUUCUCUGCAUUGUAGGUCACCUUGACCGGAAUGAAGUGAGCAGACUUAGUUAACCUGUCAACGAUUACCCAAAUGGAGUCAUACUUACUCAUUGUCUUUAGAAGACCAACCACGAAGUCCAUUGUAAUCCUUUCCCACUUCCAUUCAGGAAUGGGCAUUCUCUGAAGUGUUCCUCCGGGCCUCUGGUGUUCAUAUUUUACUUGCUGACAAUUUGGACAUUUGACAAUAAAAUCAACAAUGUCAUGCUUCAUUCUACUCCACCAAAAAUGUUGCUUUAGGUCACGAUACAUCUUUGUUGCACCAGGAUGUAUAGAGUACCUUGAACUAUGAGCCUCUGUCAGAAUAGUGUUGAUCAAAUUAUCAAUACGGGGUACACAUACCCUUCCCUUGAUUCUCAAAACACCUUCCUCAUUGAUUUGUGCUUCCUUAGACUCUCCUCGCAAUACUUUAUCUUGGAUCCGGAUCAGUUUCUCAUCGGUAAACUGCUUUCCUUUAAUUUUGUCAAGAAAAGAAGAUCUUGCCUCCACACUGGCCAAAAAUCCUCCCUUCUCAUUUACUUCUAGCCUCAUAAAGUUAUUAGCCAGAGUCUGAACUUCUCUAGCCAAUGGGCGUCUAGAAACUUGCAAGUGAGCUAGACUUCCCAUGCUUCCUGCCCUUCUACUUAAGGCGUCUGCCACAACAUUAGCCUUUCACGGAUGAUACAAGAUAGUGAUGUCGUAGUCCUUCAGUAGUUUCAUCCAUCUCCUCUGUCUCAAGUUCAAAUCUUUUUGGGUAAAGACAUACUGUAGGCUACGAUGAUCCGUGUAGACUUCACACUUAACCCCAUAUAAAUAAUGUCUUCAUUGCUUUAAUGCAAACACUACUGCAGCCAAUUCCAAAUCAUGGGUCGGAUAAUUACGCUCAUGCACCUUUAAUUUCCUUGAAGCAUAAGCAAUUACGUUCUUCUCUUGCAUUAGCACUGCACCCAAACCCGAAUAGGAUGCAUCACAAUAGACAAUGAAAUUCUUACCUUCCACUGGAAGGGUAAGGAUUGGUGCAGUAGUCAACAAGGUCUUGAGUGUCUGAAAGCUUUCUUCACACUCGUCUGACCAUACAAAUGGAACAUUCUGUUUAGUCAAGCUUGUCAAUUGGGAAGCAAUAGAAGAGAACCCCUUGACAAAUCAACGGUAGUAGCUAGCUAAACCAACAAAGCUCCUUACUUCUGACACAUUAGUAGGUAUUUCCCAACUCUUUGCUGCUUCGAUCUUAGAAGGAUCCACCAUCACUCCAUCCUUGGAAACUACGUGCCCCAAGAAGGACACUGAAUCUAGCCAAAACUCACACUUAGAAAAUUUGGUAUAAAGCUUUCUCUCCCUCAGUAUUCCAAUACCAUUCUCAAGUGCUCCUCAUGUUCUUUCUUUCUCUUUGAGUAUACCAGUAUAUCAUCAAUGAACACGAUGACAAAGAGAUCCAAAUAGGUCUUAAAAAUUCCGUUCAUUAAACUCAUGAACGCAGCAGGGGCAUUCGUAAGCCCAAAAGACAUUACUAAGAACUCAUAAUGUCCGUAUCUGGUCCGAAAAGCAGUCUUGGGCACAUCCGUUGCCCGUAUUUUCAGUUGAUGAUCACCAGACCUCAAAUCGAUUUUUGAGAAGGUACAAGCACCUUGUAACUGAUCGAACAAAUCAUCAAUGCGAGGAAGAGGAUACUUGUUCUUAGUAGUUACCUUGUUCAACUGUCUGUAGUCUAUGCACAUCCGAAAGCUUCCAUCCUUCUUCUUCACAAACAAAACAGGAGCACCCCAAGGAGACGCACUUGGUCUAAUGAAGCCUUUGCUCAACAACUCUUGAAGUUGGGCCUUUAACUCCCUUAACUCAGCGGGAGCCAUUCUAUAAGGGGGUAUAGAAAUGGGGCGAGUACCCGGUUCAAGAUCGAUGCAGAAGUCAAUAUCUCUAUCCGGUGGCAUACCAGGAAGGUCUGCAGGAAACACAUCUAAAAACUCGCGAACUAUCGAAACCGACUCAAUUGAAGGUACUUGGGUAGUAUCAUCCCUGAGAUGUGCCAAGAACGCUAAACAACCCUUACUAACCAUUUUCUUAGCACGAAGAAAGGAGAUGAUACGAACCGGAUUGGAAGUGUAGUCACCCUCCCACACUAACGGAUCUGUCCCAGGCUUGGCUAGCGUCACAAUUUUAGCAUUACAAUCCAAGAUCGCAAAAUUCGGAGAAAGCCAAGUCAUACCCAGAAUUACAUCAAAAUCAACCAUUUCUAAGAUAACCAAGUCUACAUAAGUAUUGCUCCCCACAAAAGUCACCAAACAAGACCUAUAUACUUUUUCAACUAUCACAGACUCACCCACCGGAGUAGACACACGAAUAGGUAUGUCAAGCAAUUCACAAUGUAAAUUAAGACCAGUAGCAAAUGAGGAAGAUACAUAUGAAAAUGUGGAGUCGGGAUCAAAUAAUACAGAAGCCAUUCAAUCACAAACCAAAAGAUUACCUGUGAUAACAACAUCUGAUGUCUCCGCUUUCGACCGCCCAGGAAAAGCGUAACAAUGGGACCUAUCACCUGUUUGCCCGUUGCCCCUACCAUGUUGCGCUGCAGUAGUUCCCAUUUGUCCGUCACCCCGGCCGUUUUGGUGACCACCAUUACCUCGGCCACCACGUCCUCCAGAAUAACGACCUCUACCAUGACCACCUCUACCUCUAGCUAUUGGGGGCUAUAACUCUGUUUUGGACAAUUCCUCCUAAUAUGUCCAGUCUCCCCAUGUCCAUAACACUCUCUGGAGUCAAGCAUAGGUCUCUUAGAGAAGUGUUGACCGGUAUGAGGUGGACCCCCAACUACAGUCUGUAGUGAAUACUGAAUUGGUCAGACUGAGUAACCUCCUGAACUCUGUCCUCUAUAGUAAGAACCAAUAAACUCACAUCCCUUUCGAAACCUUUUUGAUGUGGAUGCCAUGGUGAAGUCACUGGCUUCACUCCUUCCACCUCUAUCACGAAGUCUACCACUUCUUGAAAGGAUUUUGCCGUAGCCGCUACCUGUAAGGCUGAAAUCCGCAAUUCUGACCUCAACCCCUUUACAAAAUGGCGAAUCCGCUCUUGUGGAGUGAAACAAAAUUGGGUGGCAUACCUAGAUAAUGCACGAAACUUAGCCUCAUAUGCAGUAACCGACAUCCUACCUUGCUAUAGGAUCAAGAACUCAUCUCUUUUCCUAUCCCUCAAAGUCUGGGGGAUAUACUUCUCCAUAAACAAGCUAGAGAAUGAUGCCCAAGUCAUAGGUGGUGCCUCUGUUGGUUGACACUCAACAUGUGACCGCCACCAUAUUUUGGCGUUCCCUUGAAACUGAUAAGUCACAAACUCAACAUCAAACCGUUCUACUAUACCCAUCUUGAGUAGUAGCUCAUGACAGUCAACUAGAAAAUCAUAGGCAUCCUCAGAUUCAGCACCCUUGAAGACUGGAGGUUUCAAUUUCAAGAACUUGCUGAAAAGUUCAUGCUGAUCAUUUGUCAUUAUAGGCCCUGUAGUCAGACGAGGAAACGUGCCUAUUUCCAAUGAGGCAUCCAUGCGGGGAGCCACAGUAGCUGCAUGUUGUACCUCCGGAACCUGAGGUGCUGGUGCAGAAAACACUGGAGGUGUCUGGCCCUGAUCAGAUAACCCGCUAAGAUAAGCAAGAACCUGAUUGAUCAUCUCUAGGGUAGGUUGGGGUGGAAACCCCUCAUUCUGUACUUGUUCAUUCUCCCCUUCCUCACCCUCUCUUACCACUUCCUCAGUCGGUGGAGGAGUCACCGCCCUAGUACCAGAUGGGCUAGGUGCUUGUCCUCUUCCUCUAGAGGACGUCCUCCCACGACCUCUUCCACGGCCUCUUGCCACUACUCCUCUUCGAGCUACAGCCCCAGUGGCUGGCUCAGACUCUUCUUGUCUUGCCGGUGUUGGUGUUGGCGCAGUCUUUGCUCUAGUUCUAACCAUCUGCGAAAUAGAGUGAAGAUGGUCAGAUACCAAUUUGUAUCACCUAGAUACCAAUUGGACCCAAGUAAUAGCACGAAAGAAAGAAACAAAGAAUGGAAUUUUCCUAAAGUCUUAUAGCCUCUCAAGGAAAAGUAAAGGCGUCCCCCUACCGUUCCUUAAGACUCUACUAAACUCGUUCUUGUGUGAUGAGACCAACGAACCUAAUGCUCUGAUACCAAGUUUGUCAUGACCCAAAGCGCAUCGUGAGUGGAACCCACAUUUAUCCUCCUAUGUGAGAGAACCAACCAAUCUAAACCCCAACAUUUCAAACAUAAUAAAUAGAAAACAAUGCGAAAGACUUAAAACUCAUUAACAAAAUCAAUAAUCAACUUCUAAAACUCAAAACUUAUCAUUAUUCCCAUAAUCUGGAAGUCAUCGUCACAAGAACAUCUAUCCUCAAAUUACUAAUCUAAGAGUAUCUAAGAAGCUAAAAUAAGUAAAAAUCUAGUCCAUGCCGAAAGUUCAAGGCAUCAAGACAUGAAGAAAAAGAUCCAGUCCAAGCUAGAAGCAUUAGGUCACCCUGAAAUCUGGUGUGACGAAGACUAGCUAGAGUUGCGGUUGAGUUGAAGAUGACGGUACGUUUGCUGCACUCCACAAAUAACAAAGGAAAAAAAUUACAAGUAGGGGUCAGUACAAACACAAGUACUGAGUAGAUAUCAUCGGCCAACUCAAAAUAGAAACAGUAUAUAUCAGAUAAUAUCACAAAUUCAACUACAAUACUCAACAUGUGGCAAUUUACAUGUACCAUAACCCUUGGUCACAACACCAAGUACAUCAAUGAGGACUCACGCCUCCCCAUUAUACUCAUUUGGGAUAUAGGUUCUUUUUAUUCGAAUUUAUUAACAUAAUUUCAAGAUUCAUUAUCUUUAUUCCUCUUGUGUCGGUACGUGACACUCCGAUCCCCUAAUUUUACGUGUCGGUUCGUGACACCCGAUCCCCUAAUUCUACGUGUCGAUUGGUGACACCCGAUCCCCUAAUUUCUAUGUGUCGGUUCGUGACACCCGAUCCCCUAAAUCUGCGUGUCGGUUCGUGACACCCGAUCCCCUAAUUCUACGUGUCGGUUCGUGACACCCGAUCCCCUAAUUCUACGUAUCGGUUCGUGACACAUGAUCCCCUAAUUCUACUUGUCAGUUCGUGACACCCGCUCCACUAAUCUCAUUCUAUUAAUUCAUCACGCCUUCUUUUAUACCAAGGCAUCAUCAAUCUCAUUACUUUAGUUCAUCAAGCCUUCUUUUAUACCAAGGCAUCAUCAAUCUUAUUACUUUAGUUCAUCAAGCCUUCUUUUAUAACAAGGCAUCAUCAAUCUCAUUACUUUAGUUCAUCAAGCCUUUUUUUAUACCAAGGCAUCAUCAUUAACAAGGUAAAUUUAGGAUUAGAGAUUCAAUAGACUCAUCAUGCUUAUUCAUCACAAUUAUAUAAUCACAUCAUGUAAGCACACAAUUAAGCAUAUAGAAGGUUUUAUAAUACUACCCAACACAUAUCAUUCGCUAUUAAGAGUCUACUACGAAUAGCAUAAAAACCAUAACCUACCUCAACCGAAGAUUCGUGAUCAAGCAAGCAAUUUUCCAAAGCUUUGUUUCCUCUUCGUUUCCCUCUUCUCUCGAUCGUUCUCUUUCCCUCUCCUUGUUCUUUCUAUUUUUCUUAUUCAAACCCUCUUUCUUUUACCCUAAUUAACAUAUAAUUAAGUAUGAAAGAUGAUGAAUUAACCCAUUAAUUCAAGGUUAUCUCUUUUAACCCUCAAGUAGUUAAAUUAUUAACAUUAGCCCACUAAAUUUAUAAUUAUAGCGGGAAUAGUCCAAAACGUCCUUUAAAACAUUUAAAGAAAUGCGAUCCAGCCUGGGAUUACGCAGUCUGUGACGGGCCGUCGUGCCUGCGACGGUCCGUCCUGCUGAGUCGUCACAGAGUUCAGAGACUCAAUUCCUUGAAGAGUCUGUGACGGUCCGUCGUGCCUGCGACGGUCCGUCCUGCCAUGUCAUCACGAAGUUCAUAGAGUCGAUUUCAGUAUUCAAAUUUCAAAAUUCUAAGUGUUUUGGAAUGAGACCCCCUCGACGGUCCGUCGUGCCCAUGACGGUCCAUCGUGGGAUCCGUCGACCAAGAUAGUUUUUCCAGAAAUAAAAUCUGCUGCUCAAAACGACUAAACAGGUCGUUACAACAACUAAAGAAGAAAACAAACAACAAAUAAAGUAGGUAUAUUUGCUUUUCUACAAAAUUAAAAUUAUUAAUAACUAAUUAAGAUUAUUUAUUUUGUUUGUUCAAACAAAUAAAUGUCUAAACUAACCAUUAAUUUUAAAUUUUUUCAUUAAUUAUCAAAAUAGGUGUCAAUUAGCUCUUAGUAAUUAUAUAUCGAGUAUAAUAUUAGGUGUAAUCAAUUAAAAUUAAAAUUAAAAUUAAUAUAUUUAUUUAAAUUUUGUGUAUUAAAAUAUUUUUAGAUUUUGUGAUCGUAAAUAUGCUAUAUAAAAAAAUCAAAAAUUAGAAGUUAUUUUCUUUUUGAGAUGAAAUAAGAAAAAUAAGUUCAUAUAAAAUGAAAAAGAGGAAUCAUAUAUUAAAAUUAAAUAUAUAUGUGUUAUUAUUAAAAUGAGCUUUCAUAUAUUUUUUUUAUUAAAAUUCUUUCGGUUUCCUCCUAUUAAUUUGUGCAUAUAUAUGGAGUUUUAAAGAUUUGGAUAUUUUAAUAUAAAAAUAUAAUGAUUUGAAAACUUUAAUUCUUUGUUUUAAUUUCUAAUUGUUUACAUAUUUAAAAAUUACAUUAAAAAAACUUAAAUUCUCAAUGUAACAGUUCAAGAUAUUUUUUAAAAAACAUAAUUAAAAAUCAUAAUGAAAUUUGGUUGAUUCCCUUAUUUUUAUCGAAACAAAAGAAAAUUUCAUAUAUCAUUUGAAAAUGACGUAAGAACUAAAAAUCACAGAAAAAUGACAAUUAAAAAUAUGUGAGAAUCAUAUAAGAAAUUAUGUUGACUUUCCUAAAAUCACUUGUAUCAUAUAAAAUGAAACGGAUGGAGUAACAUAUAUUAUUUGAAAAUUGACAUAAAAGGUACAUAAAUCAACAAUUCAAAAUAUUUUAAACAAAAACGCAUAUAACAAAUUUAGUUUACUUUUUUAAAUUUCAGUUGUAUCACAUAAAUUUGAAGAAAAGAACUAACAUACGUUGGACCCGCAUUGGCGCGGGCACCUAAUAUCUAGUAUUUCUAUUAUAUAGAAGAGCCAAGUUGAGGACGACCAAGGGCAAUUUUGUCAUUUCACAAAUAUUUUUGAAUGUUUGUUUUAUGCUAUGACAUCAAAAAAGUGGUAAUAGAUUUAUAAUAACAAUACAACCAAAUAUCUUUUCUUAAAUGACAUAUGUAUCAUAAUCAUAUGACAAUUAAUUUGGAUCCACAUUUUCUAUAAAUAAAAAAAAUGUGUUAAAUUUUUAUUAAACCAAAAAUAUCUAUUAAACAAUGACAUUUUAGUAAUUUUAGAUUAUUUAAGUGUGAAAUAAUAAUUGUAUAAUAAAUAACCAAAAUGAAAAUCUAGAAGAAUCCAUACAUGUCUUUACUUUUAAAGUUGACCCAUAAAGAUAUUUUUAUAAUUGUGUUAAAAUGAAGUGUUUCAAUUAAUUAACUUUUUACAAAAAAUAAUAAAUGCUAAGCUUGUUUUGACAUGUUUUUGAAAUAAAAUUUUGAACUAAUUUAAACUAUAAUGUGUUUAAAUAGUUAAUAUUUUAUUUCCUAAAAAUACUUUAAAGAAAAGUUUUAACUCAUAAUUUAAUGUAAUUCUCUAUUUUCUUGCUGCAUAUAAAUUUCGAAAUUCAACUUUUUCAAUUUGGAUUGUAAACGACGCAUUUAUGUCAUAUAAACAUAUGCAAAAUAUUAUUAAGUAAUAUAUUGAAGUUGUAAACUGUAAAAAAAAUUAUAUAAAACAUAGAAAUCUCAUAUAGAGUGAAGUUGAGGACGACCAAGGGCAAUUUUGUCAUUUUACAAAUAUUUUUGAAUGUUUGUUUUAUGCUAUGACAUCAAAAAAGUGGUAAUAGAUUUAUAAUAACAAUACAACUAAAUAUCUUUUCUUAAAUGACAUGUGUAUCAUAAUAAUAUGACAUUUAAUUUGGAUCCACAUUUUCUAUAAAUAAAAAAAAAUUGUGUGUGAAAUUUUCAUUUAACCAAAAAUAUCUAUUAAAGAAUGACAUUUUAGUAAUUUUAGAUUAUUUAAGGGUGAAAUAAUAAUUGUAUUUUAAAUGACCAAAAUGAAAAUCUAGAAGAAUCCAUACAUGUCUUUACUUUUAAAGUUGACCCAUAAAGAUAUUUUUAUAAUUGACGCAUUUAUGUCAUAUGAACAUAUGCAAAAUAUUAUUAAGUAAUAUAUUGAACUUGUAAACUGUAAAUUUUUUUAUAUAAAACAUAGAACUCUUAUAUAUUUAGAGGCUAAUUACAUCCUAUCCCAGAAGUUUUCUUAAUUACAAAAAUCUCAUACUUUUCAUUGCUCUCGAAUACAUUCCUUGAUUGUAUGAUAUAUUACUAAUGAUAUAUAUAUUACUUCAUGGGAGGGAUGCAUUCAAGAGGGGAUAUCUAUGUAUUCGAGAGAGGGUGGAUGUAUCCGGAGGGAAUAAGAAUAUAUGUGAGAGAGGAUUAUGAUAAUUUAAAUUGUGAAUGACAAUAUUGUAAUUUUAAAUAUUAUUUAUGGGCAAAUUUAUAACUUUAUAAUUGCAUAAUUAGUGGUCAAAAUAAUUUUUUAGUAUUAUAUAGAAGAGCCAAGUUGAGGACGACCAAGGGCAAAUUUAUCAUUUCAUAAAUAUUCUAGAAUGUUUAUUUUUAUGUUAUGGCAUCAAAAAAGUGGUAAUGGAUUUAUAAUGAUAAUACAACCAAAUAUAUUUUCUUAAAUGACAUAUGUAUCCUAAUGAUAUGACAUUUAUAUGGACUCACAUUUUCAAUCACAUUUUCUAUAGAUUUUUUGUUCUUUUUAUUUUGUAGUGUGAAACUUUCAUCAAACCAAAAAUAUAGGGAGAAAUAAUAAUUGUAUAACUAAUGACAAAAAUGAAAAUCUAAAAGAAUCCAUACAUAUCUUUACUUUUAAAAUUUUCCCAUAAAGAUAAUUUUAUAAUUGUGUUAAAUUAAAGAGUUUCUGUUAAUUAACUUUUUUACAAACAAGAAUAAACGCUAAUUAAGCUUGUUUUGACAUGCUUUUGAAAGAAAAUUUUGAAUUCAUUUAAAAUAAAAUGUGUUUGAAUAGUUAAUAUUUUGUUCCUAAAUUUGAUUUCUAUCAUAUAGAAGCAUGAAGAAGAGGACGACCACAACUUAAUCUUAUUGUACAUUGUGCAGAAAAUGUUGUACAAAAUUUUAGGUUUAGUUAUUUAAAAUAAAAGUAAGCGUAUAUUUGUCUUUUUAUUCUGUUCUUGUCUUCUAUAAUUUUCUCGAUCAUUCUUAACUUUUUCAAUCUUUUUUAGCAUUUCAAUAAUAAUAAAUAUUACAUUUCACUCAAGUUCCAAAGGGAUCAGACAACUCAAAUAUGCUUGAUUGGCUAUUCAAUGGAUUACUAUUAUGUAUGUUUUUGGUUAAUAUGCCUUCUUUUCAUUGUAGAGGUAAAAGAGAAACAAGGAGGGACUUAAAUUUGGAAAACAAUUCAAUGGUAUUGAAAAAGAGAAGAGCCAAGCUGAGGACGAUCAAGAACAAAUUUGUCAUUUCAUAAAUAUUCUAGAAUGUUUAUUUUUAUGUUAUGGCAUCAAAAAAGUGGUAAUGGAUUUAUAAUGACAAUAUAAUCAAAUAUAUUUUCUUAAAUGCCCUAAUGAUGUGAUUUUAUAGGACUCACAUUUUCUAUCACGUUUUUUUCUUUUAAUUUUGUAGUGUGAAACUUUCAUUAAACCAAAAAUAUAGGACGAAAUAAUAAUUAUAUAAUUAAUGACAAAAACAAAAAUCUAAAAGAAUUCAUACAUAUCUUUACUUUUAAAAUUCACCCAUAAAGAUAUUUUUAUAAGUGUAUUAAAAUGAAGAGUUUUUGUUAAUUAACUUUUUACAAACAAUAAAAAACACUAAUUAAGCUUGUCUUAACCUGUUUUUGAAAGAAAAUUUUGAACUAAUUUAAAAAUAGAAUGUGUUUGAAUAGUUAAUAUUUUUUUCCUAAAUUUUAUUUCUAUUAUGCAGAAGAAUGAAGAAGAGGACGACCACAACUUAAUGUUAUUGUACAUUGUGCAGGAAAUGUUGUACAAAAUCUUAGGUUUAGUUAUUUAAAAUAAAAGUAAGCGUAUUUUUGUCUUAUUAUUAUGUUCUUGUAUUCUACCAUUUUCUCGAUCAUUCUUAAUUUUUUCAAUCUUUUUUAGCAUUUCAAUAAUAAUACAUAUUACAUUUCACUCUAGUUCUCUAGUGAUCAGACAACUCAAAUAUGCUUAAUUGGCUAUUCAAUGGAUUACUAUUAUAUAUGUUUUUGACUAAUAUGCCUUCUUUUCAUUGUAGAGGUAAAAGAGAAACAAGGAGGGACUUAAAUUUGGAAACUAAUUCAAUGGUAUUGAGAAAGAGAAGAGGCAAGUUGAGGACGAUCAAGGGCAAAUUUGUCAUUUCAUAAAUAUUCUAGAAUGUUUAUUUUUAUGUUAUGGCAUCAAAAAAGUGAUAAUGAAUUUAUAAUGACAAUACAAUCAAAUAUAUUUUCUUUAAUGUCAUGUGUAUCCU
rnacentral:lncRNA from 1 species